rnacentral:lncRNA from 1 species
GUUAGUUGAUUUCUUUCAGCCAGUGAAAAUAUUGUGCUUCCUCGUGACCGCCAAUGUGUCCGAUGUGAAAUUUGCCAUCAUUAGCACUGAUUCUUUCCCCUCAUAGGGCUCCAUAUUGAUGGCCUUUAACAGGAACACACUGAAAAUGGAGGAAUGUGGAUUCCCAGCAUGAGAGAAGUGUUCAUUUCCUGCAGCACUCUUGAGAAGCAACCACAGUCCGAAGCCCAUCAUCUUACACAAAGGAUCUAUACUGCAGAGGUGGCACACCAUCUACCUGUGUUAUAAAAAUGGUACCAGUUUAGAGCAUGCACAUUACUUCAGGAAAAUAAAGUUCGGGUCACUGUAUUGUCUGAGCACCUUUGGUUAAGGUGAGUUCUCUCUCUCUCAAAAUGAAAUCAUAAGGCUAGAAAUUAGAAAAACAAGAGACAUAAUACACUAAGUAUUUAAAACUAAUACAUAGAUUUGUUUUCGUGAAAGAGAAAGUCAUUCUUAUUUGUGAACCAGAAUGAGCAUGCUUUUGAUUUCUCUUAAAGAAAUGUCCCUCUCAAGUUGAAUUGCUAAGUAGAG